AGCCAUUAGCUCAGUUGGUAGAGCAUCUGACUUUUAAUCAGAGGGUCAGAGGACCUCCUUUCUAAGGAUA
rnacentral:tRNA from 1 species